UGAGGGAUAGCUCAGUUGGUAGAACAUGAGACUCUUAACCUCAGGGUCGUGGGUUUGAUCCCCAAGUUGAGAAAAA
rnacentral:tRNA from 1 species